GACAGAGGGUGCAAACGUUGUUCGGAAUUACUGGGCGUAAAGCGCGUGUAGGCGGCUCUGCAAGUCAGGUGUGAAAUCCCACGGCUCAACCAUGGAAGUGCACUUGAAACUGCAGGGCUAGAGUCCUGGAGAGGAAGGUGGAAUGCUUGGUGUAGAGGUGAAAUUCGUAGAUAUCGUAAGGAAGACCAGUGGCGAAGGCGAAUCUCUGGACAGUUACUGACACUGAGGCACGAAGGCCAGGGGAGCAAACGGG
rnacentral:rRNA from 1 species